GACGAACGCUGGCGGCGUGCUUAACACAUGCAAGUCGAACGGAAAGGCCUGCUUUCCCUUGUGGAUUGCGGGUACUCGAGUGGCGAACGGGUGAGUAACACGUGAGUGAUCUGCCCCCAACUUGGGUAUAAGCCUGGGAAACUGGGUCUAAUUCCCGAUAGGACUGCAGGGUGGUGCCUGUGGUGGAAAACGAUUUUCUAGUGGUUGGGGAUGAGCUCGCGGCCUAUCAGCUUGUUGGUGGGGUAAUGGCCUACCAAGGCGGCGACGGGUAGCCGGCCUGGGAGGGUGGACGGCCACAUUGGGACUGAGAUACGGCCCAGACGCCUAGGGGAAGCAGCGGUGGGGAAGAUUGCACAAUGGGCGGGAGCCUGAUGCAGCGACGCCGCGUGGGGGGUGACGGCCUUCGGGUUGUAAGCUCCUUUCGACCGCGAGGAAGCCACCUGGUUGGAAGGGUGGUGACGGUAGUGGUAGAAGAAGCACCGGCUAACUACGUG
rnacentral:rRNA from 1 species